rnacentral:rRNA from 1 species
CGGGCGUAGGAAAUUUGAGAGGAUCUGCUCCUAGUACGAGAGGACCAGAGUGGACUUACCGCUGGUGUACCAGUUGUCUUGCCAAAGGCAUCGCUGGGUAGCUAUGUAGGGAAGGGAUAAACGCUGAAAGCAUCUAAGUGUGAAACCCACCUCAAGAUGAGAUUUCCCAUGAUUAUAUAUCAGUAAGAGCCCUGAGAGAUGAUCAGGUAGAUAGGUUAGAAGUAGAAGUGUGGCGACACAUGUAGCGGACUAAUACUAAUAGCUCGAGGACUUAUCCAA